AACGAACGCUGGCGGCAUGCCUAACACAUGCAAGUCGAACGAGACCUUCGGGUCUAGUGGCGCACGGGUGCGUAACGCGUGGGAACCUGCCCUUAGGUUCGGAAUAACUCCCCGAAAGGGGUGCUAAUACCGGAUAAUGUCUUCGGACCAAAUAUUUAUCGCCUUUGGAUGGGCCCGCGUUGGAUUAGCUAGUUGGUAGGGUAAAAGCCUACCAAGGCGACGAUCCAUAGCUGGUCUGAGAGGAUGAUCAGCCACACUGGGACUGAGACACGGCCCAGACUCCUACGGGAGGAAGAAGUGGGGAAUAUUGGACAAUGGGCGAAAGCCUGAUCCAGCAAUGCCGCGUGAGUGAUGAAGGCCUUAGGGUUGUAAAGCUCUUUUACCCGGGAUGAUAAUGACAGUACCGGGAGAAUAAGCUCCGGCUAACUCCGUG
rnacentral:rRNA from 1 species